rnacentral:rRNA from 2 species
AAAUUGAAGAGUUUGAUCAUGGCUCAGAUUGAACGCUGGCGGCAGGCCUAACACAUGCAAGUCGAACGGUAACAGGAAACAGCUUGCUGUUUCGCUGACGAGUGGCGGACGGGUGAGUAAUGUCUGGGAAACUGCCUGAUGGAGGGGGAUAACUACUGGAAACGGUAGCUAAUACCGCAUAAUGUCGCAAGACUAAAGAGGGGGACCUUCGGGCCUCUUGC